rnacentral:rRNA from 1 species
UACGGAGGGUGCAAGCGUUAUCCGGAUUCACUGGGUUUAAAGGGUGCGUAGGUGGGUCUGUAAGUCAGUGGUGAAAUCUUCGAGCUUAACUCGGAAACUGCCAUUGAUACUAUAGAUCUUGAAUUUUCUGGAGGUAAGCGGAAUAUGUCAUGUAGCGGUGAAAUGCUUAGAUAUGACAUAGAACACCAAUUGCGAAGGCAGCUUACUACGGGAACAGUGACACUGAGGCACGAAAGCGUGGGGAUCAAACAGG